AUAAUUACUAUGCGAUACAUGUUGCGCCGCAGGAAAAAGAAGAAGAAAAAAAGACGCAGUAUACUAAUGACAGCCACCUCCAUGCUGACUGCUUUGAUUUCUGAACAGAGCGAGCCAGCCCGGGUAAAGCCGUAAUUACCUCUCAAGGAUAAACGAUAAUAUCACUUUCCUCAUCACGUCUUUGGGGCGAGACGGUCGACGCUGCACUCUCAUAGGCAAACGAAGCGACUUCUAUAUAAGACGGUUCGUCCGCAACGCUUUCCGGACUGAGCUGGAAUGUCAAGUGAAUGCCACUUGAUUGUUUUCAGGUGGAUUCACUUGACAUUCCAGCUCAGGUUUUUCCGUGCGGGUGUUUGACUGGAAAAGCAGACUAAGGUGAGUACAUGCUUUUUUCUCUUCUCUUGUUAUAAGUUCUUCCCCUGUGAGCGUGCAAGGUCACAGCCAUUUAUGGAAUGCAUGUAGGUGAAAGAAAAAAAGAAAUGAGGUUCAUUCCUUCCCGCUGUCGACAUGCAAUCUUUGUGAUUUUAAAGUGCACCUUCUUAGAUCAUCGCAGUAGAUGAAAUGAAAAAUAAACGAUUGCAAACAGUACAACAUUAUUUUUUUAUUUAGGACAUUGCAUUGCGUUGUAUGUUUUGGAGGACAUUGCUAAUUUACAAGUCGGCUUCACCUAACUUCUACGUGCGUUGCGGGAAGUCAACGUUAGGAAAUGCUCAGUCUUGCUGGAUUGCUUGUUUCUUUGCAUUUCAAUUCAGCGGAACGGUGUUUUUUCUAAUUGUUUGACUUUGGUUCUUCAUAAAACAUAUUUUCCAGUUCAUCGUCUUUGUUGUAACUACUCCGACGAGGUUGAAGGGUCAUCUCACAUUUUGGGCUUGUAAGAUCGACUUCUUCUAAGCAUUUUUUUAGCUUCUCUUUUUCAUUUCAUGUUCGGGUAACAACAGAACACUUCACCUGCACGUCAAUGGCAAACAGGUCAGAAAGAAAGGAAUGUGUCUACCUUCAUUUGUGAGAUGUAGCUAGUCUUCACCCAACUCCUACGUGCAUUGGGGGAAAGCCUACUUUAGGAAAUGUUCAGUCUUGUUACUGCAUGUUUCUUUGCAUUUAAACUUAGCGAAACGGUGUUUUUUUUUUAUCGUUUGAUUUUGCUUUGACAUAAAACAUAUUUUCCAGUUCAUCUUCCUUCUUUUGCUGUAACUACUCCGAAGAGGUUGAAGGGAAGAGUUUGAGAUCUUCCUUGACAACAAGGCAAAAAUGUGUGCUAUACAAUGGAGAAGAGGUGGAAAACUUUUUUUUUCAAGUUAAUCCACUCGGGAUUCCAGAUGAAGAUUUUUUUUCUCCGUGAGAGUGUUUGACUGGAAAGACAGACUGUGGAGACGUGUUUGAGACGACACACAGGCUGCAUCCGAAAUUCGUGUGUGUAACCUCUUCUCCAUCUGCCACACACAUCUCUACCUAGCACAGGCUGCUCUUCAUCUGCGUCUGAUGAUGACAACCAUGCGCCAUCAAGCCGAGGAUCAACCUCAGGCCAUGUUGUGUCAUCGGCGGCUGACUUGUCUUGACUGGUCAUUACAAACCAAGUUCAUUCUAUACAGCAAGAGGAGAAAGCAAAUUGUCAACAUAACAGCGAAGCCUCCAUAACACAAGUAAGCUAUGUCAUCCGUCAUGGAAAAGUUGGAUAAACUGAAAAAAUGUGGUGACGGUGAAAUUCAGAAAAUGAGCAACAUACCCAAAAACGAAAAGUUCGAAGUGCUGGACAUUCAGAAAAUUGACACUAUGUAUGGCGAGGCCGUAUACGUGGAGCUCCGCAUGGAAAACGACAAGCCAGUGAAAGUGUAUCUACCUGGACGCUUCAAAAAAUUGUCGGAGGAAGAGCUAGAGGAAAUGCGACUGCUUCCAAAUCUCAAAAUGGAGAAGAAAGAACGGUUUACCAAAGAUGGUAAAAAAGUCAUUUCGCCAGAUAUUAUCUUCACCAAUUCGAAGAGAAAGUGAUGAGAUAUGGUGACGUGUCACUUAUGCUCCCAGCACGAACGGCAGUAUUAUGCAACAGCAUUAGGUCUUCAGAUUCACUUGGCAAAUGUUCACAAUCUUCAAGCCCCCUGCAUUCCUUUUUGUGAGACUUUGUGCACACUGCGAAACUAUACUAAUCGGUUCGAGCUACAUUUACACGACAGGGACGUUAGCGGACAUGAUGUUACAACCUUUUUUCACGAGUACAGACAGUACAUUGCUGAUGUCUUACGACACUUUGGUUUCCCACUGCGCUAUUUUGUAUUGCUUAAAGUGGAACUUGGUCGUCACACGCCAGACGAUGAGUUACAGCUCGAAAUUAGUUUCGUGCCUUCCAAAGUAGUGACAGUAUGGUCAGAGGCAGAUGUAGAACCUUCUAUCACUCAAGUGACUGCUGAAAUAGCACAAAAUUUGGAAAACCUCGAAGUAGAAGGUUCAGGUUUUUUUCUCUUUCGCAUUCAUGCCUGUAUCAUGAACAUUGGACGUUUGAUGCCUCAACUGAUUGGAUGUGCCCAGUUUGAGUUACCGCAAGAAUUGAAGCAUAAGUUUCGUUCUCUGUUGUGUGUGGACUUUGGUUUGCAUGAAGAUGAGCAGAACAUGUGUUU